rnacentral:rRNA from 1 species
GAUGAACGCUGGCGGCGUGCCUAAUACAUGCAAGUCGAGCGAAGCGGGGACGGGUGAGUAACACGUGGAUAACCUCCUAUAAGACUGGGAUAACUUCGGGAAACCGGAGCUAAACCGGAUACUUAUCGAUGGAUCCGCGCUGCAUUAGCUAGUUGGUAAGGUAACGGCUUACAACGGCAACGAUGCCUAGCCUACCUGAGAGGGGGAUCGGCCACACUGGAGCGGAGAAACGGUCCGAACUCCGACGGGAGGCAGCAGUAGGGAAUCUUCCGCAAUGGGCGAACGCCUGACGGAGUAACGCCGCGUGAGUGAUGAAGGUCUUCGGAUCGUAAAACUCUGUUAUUAGGGAAGCGGUACCUAAUCAGAAAGCCACGGCUAACGACGUGCCAGCAGCCGCGGUAAUUC